AAAUUGUUGAGACUGUUACAACUCUGUGGAACUUUGUGUUUCUUUCUAUAGAGGGAAUAAGGCAUAUAACAUAGAGGAGACAUAUCUGGUCUGAUGCUUUUUCAAGACCAGUAAUAACAAUAAUGUUCUAAUGUAAUGGUUUGAGGUGGAAGACUUGACAAGCUGGUGUGUAUGAAAUCUUGGAAGCUGCUUUUUCGAAUUUCUUGCUCGCUGCUUCGUUUUCCUCUAGAUUCGUCUGUGAGAAGAAACGGUUCCACCACGACGAGCUACGCAUUUUAGCCUGCAAAAACCGCCAAAUUGCAUCAAGUUCACCCAAACUAUCAUUCAUGAGAAGAACAUGGAACUUACUGGUCGUCCAAACUUCGACAACUCUGCAACUUUAGCCUUUUGCUUACCAGGAUUACCUAUAAUUGAUGAAAGUUAGAAUGGAUACACAUCUCUUUGGAUACUUUCUGAAAGCCUGUGUUUUUAGUUACCUGCAAAGAGAAGGAGACCAUCUGAAGCAACACGUGCAAGUUCAGGAACGGUCUUGUUCAAAUACUUGGGUGAGAGGUAGUCCAGAGCAUCCGAGACGAUGACAAGAGAAAACGACUUUGACCGGUAAGGGAGAGGGAACUUGAUGUCAGCAACACGCACAAGGCCUUUAUGCAAAAGACUUUUGCAGUGAGAGUCUGCAUCCUCUACAUCGUACGGCUCAACACCCCAUGCUUCAGUCUCUUCCUCCUUCAACAGAGUGGAAACCACAGAGCAUGUCUCAGGACCCACGUGCAAGACUUUCCGCAUGCUAUCUCCGUACGCAAUCUUGAGAAGAGGAAUGGCUCUCUGAACUUCCGAUGUGCAAGAAUAGUCACCUGUAGAAAAAGUUGUGUUAAGACAAAUCCAUUCGACAGUUAAUGCCACAUGUAUAUUGUCAAAUGAGAGAGAAGAAGUACCUGUGAUCUUGCUGACUUCUCUGAUACUUUUAAACAUACCUGUUAAUAUAUACAUGAUUCUGCAAUUAGGGGGGAUUUCAAGUGGUAAGCAAUCACAAGCAAAAACGUAAAAGGGGCUGAAGAGAAAGAGAAAACAAAACCUGGACCACUGAAAGCAUAACCAAUGAGAAGGCAUGCUCCCUGUUAAUAAAAGAGAAAGGAUUACACUUUGUAUCAUAUGAAACAAGAAUCACUUACAAGGAAGCAGGGGAUGAGGAUUCACACCACGAGAACAAGGCAAAUAGAUAAGAGAGGAGAUGAGCGUGACUUUGAGUGCAAAGCUCCUACAAAAGGGAAGCUUCCACUAUCUCCCACACGCCUCGUCGAACCUACUUGCCUUCUUGACAUGACUCAAAGCUUUUCUUUAGUCCUUCAAAUCAUAACAAGAUAAAUAAAUACACAAACCAAUAAUUAGUCAAUAGAACCACAAAGAUAAACGCCACUCGUUUAGCUCUAUACAACAAUCAAUAUGGAAUCAAUUUUAAAAUACAGAUCCAUGACAAAAAAAAAUUAUAAUCCCCAAUCUGGAAUGCAAAUUACCAGCUUUUUCGUUGUACCAUUUCAACAAUAAUAAUAGCAAUUAAUCCACUGUGAUAACCUAAUAAAGAUUGGAUACAAAUGGAAUAUGAUUCAUUUAGCAGCUAUAUAUAUCAUAAGGUUAGCAUGUGUAGUUCAGGCCGGCCCUGAAAUGUCCAGGCUGUGUUUAGGCUCAAGUCAACAGAUAAACCCCAACCUGAUGUGUAUCUUCGUAUGAGAAUGCCUAAUGAAACGUGGGUGGGUCAUUCUUACGCUGCUCAUACAUCAUACAUAUCAAAUAAUCUAGUAACUUAUGGAUUUUAAUAUUGGGCCUGGUUUGUAUAGCCAAAUCAAAUAGAGAGAGGAAACCAGGCAGGCAUCUUCUUGAUUUGUAGAGCUGUAUCUAGCCUCUAAUCUUAGCAUCCCCUACUGUCUACGUGAGUGUAUCAAUUACUGAUAUAUAUAAUGAUCUCAACAUAAUAAUAUUCUUUUUUUGUCAAAAACAAAAUAAUAUUCAUAAUUGAUUUUGAUAAACUUGAUUAUCUGAUAAUGUCAUAGCUUAAAUGAAACAAAUGCAGGCUAACUUAUUAAAUUGUUGAGACUGUUACAACUCUGUGGAACUUUGUGUUUCUUUCUAUAGAGGGAAUAAGGCAUAUAACAUAGAGGAGACAUAUCUGGUCUGAUGCUUUUUCAAGACCAGUAAUAACAAUAAUGUUCUAAUGUAAUGGUUUGAGGUGGAAGACUUGACAAGCUGGUGUGUAUGAAAUCUUGGAAGCUGCUUUUUCGAAUUUCUUGCUCGCUGCUUCGUUUUCCUCUAGAUUCGUCUGUGAGAAGAAACGGUUCCACCACGACGAGCUACGCAUUUUAGCCUGCAAAAACCGCCAAAUUGCAUCAAGUUCACCCAAACUAUCAUUC
rnacentral:lncRNA from 1 species